rnacentral:lncRNA from 1 species
UUCAUAUAACUAAAGCAUCUUUUAAAUAGUUAUAAAAUGGAGGUAAAUAUGAUUACUAAAGCACUAAGAAACUUAAAAUAUAGUGCACAUAAAAAUGAAGACCAGGUGAGAACCAAAAUGAUCUUCGGCCAGCCCAUGCAGUAACAGUCACCCUGAUUCUUUCAAUUAAAUCAAUAAAUCAUUAUCUUCCCUCAAAGAUACUCGUACUGUUUCCUUGAGAUAAUCCCAUAUUCAGCGCUGCUGCACUAGUUCGGUCCCAAGUCCCAACAUCAAGUCCAGCCUCGUUGCCCUGUUACAAGACAAGCCCCCCUCGCCGGAACCUCCUCCCGGCCUAUGCUAAAAAAAAUACAGAGGAGGGACAUACCUUGAGACGACGAAGAAUGGGGAGAGGGAGAUCCGCGGAAUGGGGAGCCGGAAGUCGGG